CCUACGGGUGGCUGCAGUGGGGAAUUUUGCGCAAUGCUCGUAAGAGUGACGCAGCGACGCCGCGUGAAUGACGAAGGCCUUCGGGUCGUACAGUUCUUUCGACAGGGAAGAAAAUGCCUAUAAGUAACUGUGUAUGUAUUGACGGUACCUAUAUAAGCAGCCUCGGCUCACUCCGUGCCAGCAGCCGCGGUAAUACGGAGGGGGCGAGCGUUGUUCGGAUUGACUGGGCGUAAAGAGCACGUAGGUGGUGUUGUAAAGCAUUAGUCAAAGAGUAGAGCUCAACCUUAGUAAGGCUAGUGAUACUAUAAUACUAGAGUAUCAGAGAGGAUUGCAGAAUGACUGGUGUAGCGGUGAAAUGCGGAGAUAUCAGGAGGAAUACCGUUAGCGAAGGCGGCAAUCUGGCUGGAAACUGACGCUGAGGUGCGAAAGCGUGGGUAGCAAACAGGAUUAGAUACCCUGGUAGUC
rnacentral:rRNA from 1 species